UCCCGCGGUCUCCCUUUCUCCCUGCCUCCCUCCCUUCCCCUUACCAUCCCCUUCACCCUCUUCCGGACGCCAAGUCUCUCUGGCCUCCUAGGUGAACCCAACUCCCCAGCGAGCCCCGGGUUCUUGGGUUGGUCCGGCUUCAAGCAGUGGGGAGCGGGAUCCCGGGCCCCGGGCGGGCGGGAGGGACGGGACGCGGUGCAGUGUUGUUCUUUCCCCCGCCAAUAUUGCACUCGUCCCGGCCUCCGGCCCCUUCGGCCCCCCGGCCUCCCCCUCACCCCGAGCGGGGCAGUCCCAGCCCUCCUGGCUCUCGAUCCCGGCUGAUCUAAGAUAGACUGGAGUGUCGCCGCUGCCACCGCGACAGUUAUCAGGACCAGGAGGCACAUAAUCUGGGACACCAUCAUUGUCAUCAUCCACAUCACACUCAUCUCCAAGUCCGUCAUUGUCUGAGUCCAGCUGGGAGCUGUUGGGCAGCUGUGGGCAGUUGUCCUUUGUGUCCUGAUGUCCAUCCCCAUCGCUGUCCAGAAGAACAGGCACCAAAUAAACACUCUAAAGGUUGGUGAAAGCCCCAAUCUUUGCCUCCCAUCCAGAGGACAGCUGGUCAGCCUCGAGGACAGGCCUCACAGUGGAAGCCAGGCAUGGUGUUGAUGCAGCUGGAGCCCGGAAAACAAGGGUCAGCAUGAGCACACUGGAGACCAGACAAGAAGGAAGAGACAGAAGGAUGGGGAGGAGUCAGCUCUUGGCAUCUGCCACUCCACCCCAGAAUCAGUGCCACCCUUUGCUGGCCCACUCAAACCUGGUCUCGGAUAUCAUCCCGCAGCUCCACCAGGAUCUGGUUGAAGAGGCAACUCAGAGGGUCUUCCCUUCCUGCUCACCUGCAUCCUCAAAUAAGCCUUCUGUCCAGUCCUAAUCUCCAGCCCAUCAACCUCCGCUGGAGGAAUGGGGGCCAGUGCCGGAAGGCCAGCAUGCUGGUCACCCAGUU